UACGAAGGGGGCUAGCGUUGCUCGGAAUUACUGGGCGUAAAGGGCGCGUAGGCGGAUAGUUUAGUCAGAUGUGAAAGCCCCGGGCUUAACCUGGGAAUUGCAUUUGAUACUCUGGAGCUUGAGUACGGGAGAGGAUAGUGGAAUUCCCAGUGUAGAGGUGAAAUUCGUAGAUAUUGGGAAGAACACCGGUGGCGAAGGCGGCUAUCUGGACCGUAACUGACGCUGAGGCGCGAAAGCGUGGGGAGCAAACAGG
rnacentral:rRNA from 1 species